rnacentral:misc_RNA from 1 species
GAUGAAGAACGGAGCGAAAUGCGAUAAGUAAUGUGAAUUGCAGAAUUCAGUGAAUCAUCGAAUCUUUGAACGCACAUUGCGCCCGCCAGCAUUCUGGCGGGCAUGCCUGUUCGAGCGUCAUUUCAACCCUCGAGCCCCCCCGGGGGCCUCGGUGUUGGGGGACGGCACACCAGCCGCCCCCGAAAUGCAGUGGCGACCCCGCCGCAGCCUCCCCUGCGUAGUAGCACACACCUCGCACCGGAGCGCGGAGGCGGUCACGCCGUAAAACGCCCAACUUUCUUAGAGUUGACCUCGGAUCAGGAAGGAAUACCCGCUGAACUUAAGCAUAUCAAUAAGCGGAGGA